CGGUAGAAGAUCUUCGGAUCUUUGAGAGCGGCGCACGGGUGCGGAACACGUGUGCAACCUACCUUUAUCUGGGGGAUAGCCUUUCGAAAGGAAGAUUAAUACCCCAUAAUAUAUUUGAUGGCAUCAUUAGAUAUUGAAAACUCCGGUGGAUAGAGAUGGGCACGCGCAAGAUUAGAUAGUUGGUGAGGUAACGGCUCACCAAGUCAAUGAUCUUUAGGGGGCCUGAGAGGGUGAUCCCCCACACUGGUACUGAGACACGGACCAGACUCC
rnacentral:rRNA from 1 species